UGAACACUCUUUUUUAUUCAUUUCAUGAUUUGAUUAGAAUAUCAAGCUUUAUCCUUAAAUACAUUUUUAGAAAUAGCAGCAGUAGGAGCCUUGCCAAAGUGGCAUUGUUUUCAAAUCUGCAUUUAUGUGCACAGCAUGACAAGAUCCAAUAUUACUGUUUAUAAUUAUAAUAAUAAUAAAAAUAAAUCAUCAAUUACCGGACGUGGCAGAUUUUUGGGCAGACACGCCACAACUGUGAGGAUAGAUUUGUUCUCAGAAACACUAAUUCAGAAAUCAGAAAUUCACAAGAUAUUAUAAAAUGAGAAGAAAUAAAAAAAGAAACAUGAAAAUCUGGGGAAAAUCUGAAUAAUAAGUCAUAAUAACCAAGAAAGCUCUAAAAAUGGGACACCACUGUGAUUACCCAUGACCGUGGAAAUGAUUGUUCCCUGCAUGCAGCGAUCAAUUGGCUUCUUACAUAAUACUCGAUUUAUUAAGUCCUUCACAUUUUACAGGUGAAAUCAAUUUUAGCACUAGAGCAAACAAAGUCUGUGGAAAUGACAGCAUGAAAAUGACUUUGUAAAAUGACAAUCAUGCAUCUUUGUACUUACCAACAACUCUUCCCCUGCAGCCCCCCUGUUGUUGAAGACCACACACCUGGGGAAGAAAAUGCCAACAACAACAGGUUCAGCAGGUGAAUCCCUCUCAGCUCACAAUCCUGGUGUGUCACUGCUUGAGGAUACCUCCAUUACCUCCGCUAAGGAUGUUGGGAGAAAGAUGAGGAGCAAAACUGACCUGUAGCCACGGCGGGUGGCCUGGCUGAUGGCGUGGAGCACAUAGGGCUGCUUGCUGUUCCCCGCCAGGCCUGGCAGGAUCAGUACUGUGGGGCGGGUGGAGGAUUCUGGGUGGGCCGCACUGGCCUGAUUGUCCACCCAGUCCAGCGAAAUCUGACCACCGUCAUCGGUACGGAGAAGCUCACUGAUGGAAUGAGGGAGACGAUAGAAACAGAGAGACUGAAUUUGAAAGAAAACACAAGACAAAAUGACGAGAAUGUGGAUAGUGUUUUACUGAAAGAGAGAUAAUAAGAUACAUGUGUCGACCAGCAAGAGGAAGAUAAAAUGAUCCUACUUGCGAUAAGUGACGUGGGGUCUGGAUUUGAGGACGGAACAGACCAGGGUUUGAAGGCGACCUCCCCAGCACCACGGGGUGGGACUGAAGCGCUCAGCCACCGCAGGACAGUGUUCCUGGAGGAAUGCACUGAGAGCCUCACUACAAACCAGAGCAGGUGCCUGCAGCAGAAAACACACACAAAAACAUACUAAUACCUGUGACAUAACUGCAAUUAUAUACAAUUAUGUUGACUCACAACCAAAGCAUUUUUUUAAUAUCAGGUUAAAACUGUUAUUGACGUUCCAAACUCUUGAUAACAUUUCAUUACAUAUGACUAUAACUGUGUUACAUUGUGUUGUCAAGCAUUAUUAUCUGUUAUACAGCAGUUAUGGAUGUUUAACGUGAUGCGUUAUUUUGGGAAAAAAAGAUUAAUAAACACUUAAAAU